rnacentral:rRNA from 1 species
ACGGAGGGUGCAAGCGUUAUUCGGAUUUAUUGGGCGUAAAGGGCGUGUAGGUGGUCUGAUAAGUCAGGUGUGAAAGCCCCUGGCUCAACCAGGGAAGUGCAUUUGAAACUAUCAGACUUGAGUACGGGAGGGGGAAGUGGAAUUCCUGGUGUAGAGGUGAAAUUCGUAGAUAUCAGGAGGAAUACCGGUGGCGAAGGCGACUUCCUGGACCGAUACUGACACUGAGACGCGAAAGCGUGGGGAGCAAACAGGAUUAGAUACCCUGGUAGUCCACGCCGUAAACGAUGGGCACUAGGUGUAGCGGGUAUUGACCCCUGCUGUGCCGAAGCUAACGCAUUAAGUGCCCCGCCUGGGGAGUACGACCGCAAGGUUA